rnacentral:rRNA from 1 species
AUGCCCGCCAGUGCGCAGCCCCUUGCUGUCGUCGAUGAGAUUGCAGCACAGGUGUCGGCGGGUUCCCAGCUUCGACUGCAGCUUUCCAACGGCCGGUUCCAGCUCGUGAUGAUCGUGGUUGCAACAUCCCUAUCGUCACCAGCUCCGGCUCGCGUCGUCGUCUUGCAUCACCAUGUCCGAGCAAAACCAAAAUCGGCAACAAAAAAUCCCAAAAAAGUUGAUAGCAGCAAAAAAAAUCGUCAGUUCCAGCAAAAUAGAUCACCGGUUCCAGCAAAAAACAUGUCGCCGCCCAGUGAUUCCAGCAGAAAAUCUCUGUGGUUCCAGCCAAAAAAAUGCCGAUUGCAGCAAAACAUACAAACGGUUCUAGCAAAAACAAUGCUGGUUCCGGCAAAACUUACAAAGGAUUCCAGCAAAAACAACUCUGAUUGUUGUCGCCCUCUUCCAGCAUCGGAGAUUGCCGGUUGCAGCUUUCCAUGA